CUUCCCCAACCUCAGUGCUUCUGUGAUUCUAUGGAAAUGGCAGCAGAAUGCAUACGUGUGCUGGGGCUGCCGCUGGGAGCAGCUGCUCAGGCACGUGUGAGCACAGUGCAUAUGUGUGUGCACACGCGUGUGCUCGUGGCCCCUUCGCUCUGUGCUGUGGCACAGCAUCACUCCCACAUCCAACCCAGACUGGAAACUACCUUGGCAAAAUCAUCCUGGAGGAGGCUUUUAGCAGCGUGCAGCAUGGAACACUUCCAGCACUGUGGUUUUCCAAGGUAACAGCCGAAGAAAAGGAAAAAAAAAAAAGGCUGGAGGAAGGGAUGAGGCAGCGGGUGUCGGACAGCGGACGGUGUUCAUUGAGGUCGGUGUGAGGAUGCCCUCACUUCUCCGGCUCUGCCCACAGGUUGCUUUUCAGUAGAUAAAUAAAUAAAGCUGGGGAUGAUCCGAGCCGGCGCUCCUUCCUUUGGAGCAGGUCUGCGCGGUGCUGUGUGAGCAGCGGGGCUCGACGCGCACAGCAUUAAUAUGCUCUGUGUGCAUCCCGGCUGCACGCGCAUGGCACGGAGAUUUGCAUGCUGAAUCUGUGCUCCUGGAGCCUGCACACCCACGUCUUUAAUUAAGCAAUGCCCCGUGUUUCUGCUCUAUAGGAUAACUGAAUUUUUUUAUAUAUAUAUAUAUGCAACUCUAAUGCACAGGAGAUAAUUUUGUAAUGAUUUUUCUGUUUGUUUAACUGAGCAGGAUGUUAACUUGGUGGGUUAGCAGCCUUACUGCAAGCUACACUUAGUUGGGAAAACACAUAAGCCUGCAAUUCCCCAGCUGGCACCAGCAAGGGAUGGCGGUCCAGCACGGCUGGGGUUGACUGAAUGCAAUGGCUUUGGGAUGGGGCAUGGCUGGGGAACAUGAAAAGUGGAAUAAAGGACAGGGGGCUCCAGCCCUGUGUCCCCACACUGUGGUGUUGCUGUUCCCUUUGGGUUCCCAUUGGUGUCUGCAAUGGAAAUCCUGCCUCGGGGAUGGACUGAGCCCCUCCAGUGCUGCAGCCGUGCUGAGAAGGCCCUGCAUGUCUCUAAGGAAAAGCUCCAGGUGGUUCUUUGAACGACUGACUGCCCAGCUGGGUCAGGCAGCACUCUUCAAUGGACAUUUACUGGCCGGUCUUUGUGAACACACUGGAGGUGGUUUCUUUUUUCUCUUUUUCUUUCUCUCUUCUUCUUCUUCUUUUUUUUUUAUUAGACACAACCACCAAGACUCAUAAAAAGCCUCAGGAAAAGAGACCCCCUUCCUCCGUGUUCUGUGCAAAGGAUCAUCUGAAUUAACGUCUUUCACACAGCACGUGACAGGCGGGUGCCCAGCGAUUUAAUGCCUACCAACGCUCUUCAUGGCAGCUGCUGCUUUAAAUGGAAUUCCAGCACAAGUUGUGGCUUCUGCUGCCUGAGCCUCUUUCCCUUUCCCUUCUCUUUCUCCAUGCAGAAAAAAUGGCACCCACUGACAUUCAUCGACAGUUGCUGAACAGUUAUGGAGGCCCAACAGUGGAUGUGAGCACAGUGCUGCUGUGGGUGGUGCAUUUCAGCAGUGACAGUGGAUCACCUCGACUGGUGCAGAUUUAUCCAACGUGACAUGCAGGCUCUAGUUCACUGCUGGCCAAAAAGCACAGCCAGUGGUGGUGUCUAUGUUGAAAAACAGUGCUUUGUGGCUGAGAAUUUGCUCUGUCUGUUAGUAUUAUUGUGCUCUUUGUAUCUGUUGUAGUUUCUGCGGAAAUAAAUA
ensembl:lncRNA